rnacentral:rRNA from 1 species
UAAUACAGAGGGUGCGAGCGUUAAUCGGAAUUACUGGGCGUAAAGGGUGUGUAGGUGGCAAGGCAAGUUAGAUGUGAAAUCCCCGGGCUCAACCUGGGAAUUGCGUUUAAAACUGCUUAGCUAGAGUAUUGUAGAGGAUAGUGGAAUUUCCAGUGUAGCGGUGAAAUGCGUAGAUAUUGGAAGGAACACCAGUGGCGAAGGCGACUAUCUGGACAGAUACUGACACUGAGACACGAAAGCAUGGGGAGCAAACAGG